rnacentral:rRNA from 1 species
UACGUAGGGAGCAAGCGUUGUCCGGAAUCAUUGGGCGUAAAGCGCGCGUAGGUGGCCCCAUAAGUCCGCUGUGAAAGUCAAAGGCUCAACCUUUGAAAGCCGGUGGAUACUGUGGGACUAGAGUACGGAAGAGGCGAGUGGAAUUCCGGGUGUAGCGGUGGAAUGCGCAGAUAUCAGGAGGAACACCAAUAGCGAAGGCAGCUCGCUGGGACGUUACUGACACUGAGGCGCGAAAGCGUGGGGAGCGAACAGG